rnacentral:rRNA from 1 species
UACGGAGGGGGCUAGCGUUGUUCGGAAUUAUUGGGCGUAAAGCGCGCGCAGGUGGUUUCUUAAGUCUGAUGUGAAAGCCCACGGCUCAACCGUGGAGGGUCAUUGGAAACUGGGGAACUUGAGUGCAGAAGAGGAAAGUGGAAUUCCACGUGUAGCGGUGAAAUGCGUAGAGAUGUGGAGGAACACCAGUGGCGAAGGCGACUUUCUGGUCUGUAACUGACACUGAGGCGCGAAAGCGUGGGGAGCAAACAGG